GGGCCAGCGAGAUGGCUCAGCGGGCGAGAGCCUGAAGACUUUGGUUCAAUCCCUAGAUCCCACAAGUUAGUAGCCAAGAAUCAAUUCCUGAAGUGUCUUCUGACAUCCACAUGAGCGCGCCCUGGCACACUUGCCCACAAACACAAUAAAUAGCCCCUGCACUUAAGGCAUGCAGUUGAAAUCACACACGAAUGACAAAGAUGGGAACGAGAGGGCAGAGUUGUAGGGUCAAGGUGAACAUCUCAGAAAUGGCACACUGAGAGACAGAUUAGUCCAGCAGUUUAAAUGAGGCACGAUAAACUAUCCCACAAGAAAAUGAAUUUCAACUUCAGAAUGAUUGAUAACUUUGUGAAUCAACCACAACAAAUGAGAAAGGGGCAGACUAGUCAUUUUAUACGCUUCAGCAUUAAAGAUGCCCAGCUGCAACAAUGAGCUGGCCCGCCAACGCCUUUGAGAGUCAAACCCUAGCUGGAGAUUGGACCAGGCUGGGGAUGCCGGCAGAUCGCUCGGCCGGAUGGUGUCCUGCGUGGCACCGGAAGGAUGCCGUGAGUUUCUCAGGGCCUGUGACCUUCGCAAAGGACUCUGGAACCCCGGCCGCUGCCGCUGCCUCUGCCGCUGCCGCUGCUCCCGGAGGCCGCAGUUCUGUGCCGGUCGGCGUCAGGGAAGAGGACAAGGCGGGAUGUCGCGGCGCGUCCUUUUGGUUCAAGAUUGUUUACGGUUAGCGACCAGCGGGAUGAAAGGAUGGACGCUGAAAGAUAAAGGGAAGCAAAGAUCUCGGGAAGAAAGUGUUGCUGGCCCGGACUCACAAACCUAUGUCACGUUUGUGCUUUAGCUCCCCGUGCAUCUGCUUGGCGGGACUGGCGAGUGGAGGAGGUACAUCAUUCAACUCUGCCACCAUGAAUUUGAUUGACUUAGAUUCCUACAACAUGUGAGAAGAUAGAGAAUUGUUCCUGUGCAGGACUAGCUGAUUUCACGUCAUACAUGUUUCAUCUGUGCUGUUGCAAAUGAAAGAAUUUAUUUUCUUGGGUAUGGCAGGGAGGCAUCAGGAAGUCUUGUGAGCAGACAUAUAUUUGGGAGAACAAAACUGGAAGGUUCUUGAGGGUCUCACUAGCAUUUAGAAAAAGAAGCAAACAACUGCUGGGUUUGGAGACUGGAAAAAACAAGUUCAGAGGAAAGAGCAUCUCCCACUAUCAAGUUCAGAGGAAAGAACAUCUCACACUAUCGAGCUACCUGCAAGCUGAAAAGAGCUCCAAGGUUACUUGCAGUCUUUGUGAACAUCACCCAUGCUGAGCUUUAGAGCCUGUCCUGGAACUCACUCUAUAGACCAGGCUGGCCUCGAACUCACAGAGAACCACCUGCCUCUGCCUGCUGAGUGCCGGAACUAAAGAUGUGCACCACCACCACCUAGCUUUAAGUUUUUCACAGCCCUUUGGAGCGCUCCUGCCUUACUUCUUGCCCUGGCCACUGUGGAACUCUUCAGCAGCUUCAUAUUCUACUGGCAACAGUUAGCCAUCUUUCUUGGCCUGACAACUUCGUCCUGGAUGCCCUUGUCCAUCACUCUCUGCUGCUGCUUUGUGUUAUCAACUCAGCCAGCACUACUAAAUGUGGGUAGAUAUUCAGUGGUGUCAGCAUCUAGUUUCCACAGCUUAUAAAGUUUUCAAGACUGACCAGGAGAUGGAAGUAUUGGACUAAGGAAUGAACACUUCCGUUCCUGUCCAAGGCUGCUUUGGGAGCCACAAGGUGCUGCUCCGGCUGUGACAUUACCAGGUAGAAGAGAUAAAUGAUGCACAGGAUGCUUCUAGCUCAUCAGCAGUUGAGAUUCCAGUUCCCACACCACUGAUCAUCCCUGGAUUGGCCACCAUAGGGCUGGAUGUAAAGGAUGAGGAGAAAAGCAAUGUUAACAUGUUUUUGAGGAAUCAGAUAUUGUUAUCAAAAUAUGAUGUUAUAAUUUUUUUUUGUUUUUUUGAGACAGGGUUUCCCUGUGGCUUUGGAGGCUGUCCUGGAACUAUCUCUUGUAGACCAGGCUGAUCUCGAACUCACAGAGAUCCACCUGCCUCUGCAUCCCUAGUGCUGAGAUUAAAGUGCGUGCGCCACCAACUCCUGGCUCAAAAAUAUAAUAUUAUAAUUUAACUUAAUUGGUUACAGAUUUUAAGAAGCCAUAGUCAUCCUGAAGGAUUUCUGUCUAAUGUUCCUAUAAUGCUCUAUAAGUAUAUCUGUCACAAGCCUUAUGUUACUAAUAUGUUUUAUGCAUCUAUCCUCUGAUUUAAAGCCAAGAAGCAUUUCAUCUUUAACAUUGCAUUUCUUAUACAUAGCAUAAUUACUGGUACAUAGUAGGAAGCAGUGUCCUUUUGUCUAACUUGGCAGUGGGAACCAGUGAAAUUUUUAUAGCAUGGCUGUGCCAUUAUAAGGUUUUCACUGGAGGUAGAGAAAGGUUGUUAGUUGUUUUGGAAACAUGGAAGAGUGGGAGUAGGGAAAAAUCUAUUGCAGAGUUCACACUAGAGACGAUGAAGGUUAGAACUAGGGUGAUAACAGAAAAAACCAAAUGGAGAGUUACUGAGGAGGCAAGUUGGCACAAUUUGGGAAUCUAUGUGGAGAAUGAGGAGCUUCAGGCUUGGGUAAUAGUGGUGCCCCUUGAAGAUUCAGAGCAAAACAGGGAAGCAGGUUUGAGGUAGGGGAGAUCAAUUCAGUUUUGACCAUGAUAAGGUUGAGGUGACUGCUAGAGAUUUGCCAUCAAGAUUUGGGAGAUCAAAACUUAAGAGAGAAGUCAGGAGUGAAAAUAAGAAUCCCAAAUACAGCAGGUCAUUGGUGGCACACCCCUUUAAUCCCAGCACUCGGGAGGCAGAGGCAGGCUGAUCUCUGUGAGUUCGAGGCCAGCCUGGUCUCCAGAGCGAGUGCCAGGAUAGGCUCCAAAGCUACACAGAGAAACCCUGUCUCAAACAAAACAAAACAAAAAAAGAAAUACAUAGUUGGGGCUUAAAAUUGGAUGCUAUCAUUUGCAGACAGAAUAUAUAGUAAAACUUUAAGAAACUCUUGCAUUUAUGAAGUAAUUGAAAAAUGAGAAGCCCAAGAAGAAGGGAGAAAAGGAAUACCCAUAGAGAUUAGAGGAAAACCAAGACAGUGUGGUGUCAUUGCAGCCAAAGGAGGAGAGGGUUUGGGAAGGACUGAUCAGGAGCACAUGGCACUUUAUACUCCGCUAGGGAGGUGAUGGUAAGGAAAAGUUCCAUGUGGCGGAGAUGUGCAGUGUUGUGACAGGAGGUAAACCCAGCAAGGCUAGUUCAGUUCUUGUAUUGGCUGGUUUAUGUUGUCAACUUGACACAAGCUAGAGUCACUGGAGAGGAGGAAGCCUCAAUUGAGAAAAUGCUUCCGUAAGAAUAGGCUAUAGAGCCAGGCGUUGGUGGUGCACGCCUUUAAUCCCAGCACUUGGGAGGCAGAGGCAGGCGGAUGUCUAUGAGUUCAAAACCAGCCUGAUCUACAGAGCAAGUUCCAGGACAGGCUCCAAAGCUACAGAGAAACCCUGUCUUGAAAAACCAAAAAAAAAGGCUAUAGGCAAGUCUAUAAGGUAUCCAUUGUGGGUAAAGCCAACCUUGGGCAGGUCCUGGGUUCUAUAAGAAAGCAGGCUGAGCAAGCCAUGGUGAGCAAGCCAGUAAGCAGCACCCCUUUGUGGUCUCUGCAUCAGCUCCUGCCUCCAGGUUCCUGCCCUGUGUGAGUUCCUGUCCUGACUUCCUUCGAUUACGAACAGCAAUGUGGAAGUGUAACCCAAAUAACCCUUUCCUCCUCAACUUGCUUUUUGGUCAUGGUGUUUUGUUGCAGCAAUGUCAACCCUAAGAUAGUCCUGAUCCAAAAGGAUGGUUAUCAGGCCAAGGACUCUGAGCUACAUUUUGUAGAUGAUGGAGAGUCAUCAGCAGUUUUCAGAUAGGAAUGACUUGGUCAGAACAAGGUUUACAAAGGUCAGGCUGGGGACAGCAUAGGGAAUCCUAUGGAGGAUUGGGACUUGAGACAGAGCCCAUCAAAAUGAAGUGAAGGAGCACUUUGGUUGUGGGGGAAGGUACCACUUCUGAAGAUCCUUAGCAGAUAACAUUGGUAAGCCCUAAAAGCAAUAGAAACACUCAGUGAGCCAUAUAGUAAGCAUUAUUAAUAACCACAUUGACUUACCUUGUUCUUACAACAAACCUAUGAGAUAGAUAAGCAUCAUUAAUGUCAUUUUGUGCAUGAUAAAACAGAACAUAGAGAUAAAGACAUUUGAUGAACAGACUUAAUUACUAAUUGGAAGAACCUAUAUUCCAAACUGGUUGUUUGGCUAGCCAUCACCUCCCUUCAAAACAUUAAACCUAUGGCUUUCCACAAGCACUCUACUACUGACCAUAUCUAAAAGAUUUCACUAACUACUGAAGGCUGUCCUCAAACAUAAGCAGGUCUUCAACUUGCUAUCCUCCUGCCUCAGCCCUCCUAGUAGCUGGAAUUAUAGACCCAUGCUCCUGGGCCUGGCUCUAACAUCCAUUCUUAAGGACUUACAUUGCCACCUGUAACUAUUUUGGUGUCCAAGGGCCAUGCUGCCACCAGGGCCAUGUUGAUCUGAGUGGCCUGUGCUGCCACUGGGAGACAUGAUGACAUCUGGGCCUGGGUUGCUGCUGGGGGCUAUGCCUGGGUCUAUGACCCUGCAACAGCCAGAGUCUGUGUUGUCUAUGGCUUUAGUAACCACUAAAGAAGGGAUGGGUGCCUGGGGUCUGGUCAAACACCCGAGUCCAUGUUGGUCUUCUAGGGUCACACUUCCACUGGGGCCAUGGCAAUCUGGAUGACCCAUGCUACCAUCCAGGGCCGUGGUGACAACCAAGCCUCGGCUGUGAUGAGGGCCAUGUCUGGGUCUGUAGACUUACCACACCUAAGGUCUGUGUUAAUAUCUGUGACUCCUGAUACCACCAAAAGCCAUGCAAAUAUCUGGGGUCUGGGCUGUCAUCUGAAGCCAGGUAGAUCUGAGGGUGCAGUGGGGCCAUACAAAUCUGAAUGGUCUCCACUGCCACAACGUGCCAUGGUGACAUCCAGACCCAGGCUGCAGCUGAGGGCCAUGUCUCAGUCCAUGGCCCUAUAGCUGCUGGGGUCUGUGUGGAUGUCCGUGGCUCAUGAUAAUAUGGAAGGCCAUGCUGGUGCCAGGGGUCUGGUUGGUGUCCAAGUGCUACACUGUCACUGGGGUCUUACCGAUCAAAGUAGCCUGCACUGUUGCCUGGGACCAAGGUGACAUCCAAGCCCAGACCAUGUUGGCACCUGAGGCCCAUGCCACCACCAGGGCCACACCAAUCUGAGUGACCUACACUACCAUCUGGGACCAUGGUGUCAUCCAGGCCAGGGAUGCUGCUGAGGGCCCUGUCUGUGCCCAUGGCCCUACUGCAGCCAGGGUCUGAGUUGAUGUCCAUGACACCAGAUACCAUUGAAGGCCAUGCUGAUGCUAGGAGUCUGGGCUGCCACCUGGGGCCAUAUUGGUGUCCAAGGGCUGCUCUGCUGCAGGGGCCAUGCCAAUCUGGCUGGCCUGCCCUGCAACCUGGGGCCAUGGUAACAGCCAAGCCUGGGCUGCUGCCAGGGACCAUGUUUGGGUCUGUGGUCCUGUCACACUCAGAGUCUGUGUGUGUAGCCCGUGGUGUCACCAAAGGUCACAUGGAUGCCCAAGGUCUAACCAUAUCCUGUGGCCAUGGUGGUGUCUAGGACUGUGCUACUGCUGGGACCAUGGCGUCAUCUGGGCCAGGUCUACUGCUGGGGCUAUGUCUGGGUCCAUGGCCCAAUAGCAACCAUAGUCCGAAAUGAUAUCCACGGCUCCUGAUACGAAGGAAGACAAUGCCAAUGUCCGGGUUCUGGGCUACUAUCUGUGGCCAUGUUGGUGUCCACGGGCCUCACUGCUCCUGGGCCAUGUGUGUUGUAAUUUUUAAAAAGUGCUGUGAGAGAGAAAGACAUCAUGUGACAGAGUUCAGGCAGAGGGAUGUUUUUCUUAGGGGGAAAGGAUCAUAAAAAGGGGAAAGGGGAGGGGGGAGACUGGCCUCCAGGGACAGGGGCAGCUGGACUGAGGAAAGAGAGGCAGAGACAGUGAGAUUAAGAGAGAGAAACAGACAGGGAGAGAAAGAAAGAGACAGAAGGAUAAGAGGUGGGCAGGGCCCUUUUAAAAGGGAUCAUAGUCAAUAGGCACAGGUGGUGCUCUUAGGGGCAGCUGAGGGUGUAUCCUGUCAGGACUCCAAGGGCAGUCCGGAACAAAUGCCUAAAUACUAGCAAUGGCAAUGUGAGUGGCCUGCAUAGCCACAUGGGGCUGAGCCCAGGCUGCUGCCUAGGGAUAUGUCUGAGUUCAUGGCCCAACAGCAGCCAGGGUCUGGGCUGAUGUCCAUGGCUCAUGUUAGUUGCCACAGGGGGUCAUAGGAAGCAUGCAUGUUGAAAUCUGAGGGCUAUGCUGAGCCAGCCCUGCCCCUCACUGGUCUCAGGAUAGCUGGCCCUACCCUUCAUUAGACACUGCAGCAGGAGAGCUGGUUAUGCACCUGCCACACACAAUGGGAGAGCUGACCCAAGCAUUUAUGAGAGAUGGCCCCACCUCUCACCACAGGCAUGGGAGAGCUGGCCCUGAUGGCAUGAGCCUGGGAGAGCUGGCUCUGCCCCUCAUCUAAGGGGGUGGUCCCAGUGAUCCAGACCAACUAUCUCGCCUACCACUUAGACUCACAUCCUGUGCCUUGGGUUGACUCACCCUAACAGUUGCCCCAUCUGUGACAUGCUGCAAUGCUUGAAGGGUCUGGUCCUGUGGAACAAUAACCACAGGAUGUCCAUGACUCAGGGUAACAGCAGGAUAUCUGAAAGGAGUCUUGAUGAGAGCCCAGUGAUGAUGAGUGUCAGAAGCCAGAGGCCUUGAACCAGACCAAUGACUCAUUGCAAUGGCACUAAUUGGGCAUACUGCAUGACGCACCAAAGCUCCUGGUGCCACUAGGAUGAAUGAAGAGGGUUGAAAAGAUGGAGGAGUGAGGUGAUUUUUUUGUGUGUUUUUUUAUUUUAAUUAAUUUUCUUUUGUUUUUAAUCACUGCAGGGAUGAGGAGUGGAUAGGGAGGGACUGGGAGGUGAGCAGGAUUGGGGUUACAUGAUGUGAAAUUUCCAAAGAAUCAAUGAAGAAUUGUGUUUAAAAAGAAAAAUCCUCGUCUGUGCUGGGUGAUGGUGAUGCAUACCUUUAACCUCAGUGGCUGGGAGGCAGAGACAGACAGAUCUUUGUCCUAGUCUACAGAGGGAGUUCUAGGACUGCUAGGGCUGUUGCACACAGAUACCGUGUCUUAAAACAACAACAACAACAACAAUGCACAAACAAAACAACAAAAAACAACUCUUGUCUGCUAAUCUGGCAUAUUGAUAAUUUUGGAAUCAAUCUUUACUUUUCAAUACAGGUCACAUUUUUCUGUUCCUUGUAUAAACCCAGUCAUCCUGGCUUGUCUCAUGAAUAUUGUAAAAGAAUUUCUUCAAUGGAUACCAUAUGUCCCUAUGAAGAGUGUUGAUAUUUGUUUUUCUUAUGUUUUAGCAGGUAGUCAAGUGGAUUGCAAUCAGACCACAUCCAUAGCCCCUGUGAAAAACAAGUGGAAUUGAAUUUGGCUAGCUUUAUCUGGGCUGUUUAGAGAUGGUGCUACAUCUGUAUAAUUCAAAGAUCAGCAAGAAAUAGGGGUUGUUUAUAUGUAGAAUUUGGGCUAGCAGGCUCCCUUCCUUCCAGAAUUUUACCCUCCACACUUUCUAGCUGAUAUGAAAACCUUGAACUCUGUUCUCUGAUCUUCAAGCCAGUAAGGUUCCAUUUAAGCCACCAAUCAAGAACAUGACUUAGGGCUGUGUGUGGCUAGAAGUAUGUGGAUCUCAUCUAGCUUGCACCUGUUCUUUGAAAUGGCAGUUUUCUUUCAGUUUCUUACUGCUUCGGGUUACUUGUCAAUACUUAUAUGUAGCUUUUAAAGCAUAUUUUUCUCCAGAGUGUAGAGGUCUUUUAUCUGACCAAAGGUCAGUUUCACAGGUGCUACUUGGGCACCUAAGUGGAAAUCAAAACUUGUGUGUGCUAUGUUACACAACCUGUGGCACAUAUUGCAUGAAUAUUCUGGGGUGCAGCAAAAAUGUAUACCUAGGAUCCACAUGUUUGAUUUAGAUGAUGUGACAGGGUUUAUAAGCAUGUAAGAUAAAAGUGAUGAUACUUUCAAUUGGCAUGCUUGGAGGAAUGAGAAGUUUGAUAGUUGCCCAUUUGGGGAUUCUCAUUCAUUCAAAUAGCCUGACAGGUAGAGUUCUACUGUGAGCAACUCGAGUACUUCUCCCUCAAGGAGCUUCAAGGAUCAAGUAUCCUAAUAUCUAUGAAUUUUAAAAACCAGUGUUAAACUUGUAGUAAACUCUAGUUUUUAUGCAGCCUGUAGGUCAGAUGGACAGAGCAAGACUUCCACACAACCCUCUGCCAGACCUGAUGUCUGUGACAUAAAGGAGUGGAUUAAUAGACAAGCUGUUUAAAAGCUUAAAUCAGGGCAUCCAAGAAGCAAGUGUGAGUGAGUCAUGAAGACUUGCUCCAGGGUUCCAGAAAUCACCUGAAUCCUGGCAUUGUGUGGCUUGAUUGGGUUCCCUGGAAAGAGACCCAGAGAAGCCGUUGCACAGAGCUUGGAAGGGUUUCUCUGUGUAGCUUUGGAGCCUAUCCUGGCACUCACUCUGGAGACCAGGCUGGCCUCGAACUCACAGAGAUCCACCUGCAUGCUGCCUCCCGAGUGCUGGGAUUAAAGGUGUGCACCACCAACACCCGACGUUAACUGCUCUCUUUUGAGACAUAUUCUGACUGUGUACUUUGGACAGUCUUCUGAUGUGCUGUGUAACCCAGGGUGACCUUGAGUUUAUAUCUGAGUUCUGGAAUUACAGGUGUGUGGCACCAUAUUACACAAAAGAAGGGUACAAGUGUGGCAUCUUUGCUGUCAUUUUGUAUCUGUCUCCUUUACUUUGAGUUACUGAGUAUUCUAAUCAAUGAACAAUAUAUGUCACUCCUUUAAAAAUAAUCAUUGCUUAUUUACUUUCAUCAAGGCUUUUAUAAGAAUGGUUAUAGUUAGAAAAGUCUGAGUAACCUCAUCUCAGGAUAGAGCAGAAAUGCUGCUUGGUCUGUGGAUGCUGCAGCCCUCCCUUUGCUCAUUUGUGAUGAUAACUCACUCACAAGGUCAUUGUGAUGAUUUAAAGAGACAAUACCUCUGACAUGUUUACCCUUAACUUUUUACCCAUACUUCCUUGUUGGGCUCUUGAGUCCUCAUCUGUGAAC
rnacentral:lncRNA from 1 species